rnacentral:lncRNA from 7 species
AGUUCUGGGGGAGAAGUCCUUCAUCAAGCUAUAUGAAUUGCACUCUAGAAAUCAAUCCAGAUGUGACAAGCCUACAGGAGUACUGCAAGGGCAUGAUGUAUCUCUCUCUGUCUUCUACAGAACAGCCAACAUAAAAAUGUUCAGUAAAAUUGUUCAGAAGUAAAAGAGUCCCUGAGUGCACUGUCCAAGCCAUUGUGCUUCACUCCAUGUAGCCAAGAUGGGUCAUUGAUCUUCUGGCUUCCCCAGCAAUGUUGACAGGCUUCUCACCCUUUUCGUAGAGCAGCAAUCAUCUGAGAAUUAACACCUGCCUACCACUAUAUUCUUGAGGACUUUUUUGCACAUACCAAGUCCCAUCUCCUUGUUAGUCAUCCAUGUCUCGAUUUUUUUUCACAUGAAUGGGUUUAUGUGUGACAUCCAUUAAGAAAACUACAGGGUAUAAAGUGCUGGGAAAAAAAUAAAAAAGACUAAUGUUGCCAAUGUGUUUCUAACUUCAGCAAGUCUUUAUUGAUGCUUCAUUAGUAACAUACAGAGACAUAAAGAAGGUGUGAGCUGGGCUUGGCAACAUAUUACUGACUGUCUUUAUCAUAUAUAAAAAACAGGCUUUGCAUAAAGAGAAAGCAUCAUGCUAAAUCUAUGUUCAAAAUUAUUCCUCUCAUUCCACACCCCUUCUCCCCGAGCCCCAACAUUUCUUCUUCAAAAGAUAAAUGUGAAGGUCAGGAGUAAAACUGAAACAAUCAGCCCAUUUCUACUGUGGCAAAAAAAAACCGUAAAUGUUUCCAGGGAAAACAGAGUGAAGACAAGGUUGAAAUUUCCAAUCUGAGGGCUGAUGUGCAAGGCUGCCAGCAUGGAUUACAGUCAUGAAAAAGACUGAUGCAUUUAGUGUCUCAUCAUGUAGAAGGACCCAUCUGUAUCAUUGGUAUAGUAUUUAUCACUGCUUUUAGAAAUAUUAGAUAUCUGACUUCUCUGUUUCUGAAUCAGGAACCCUGAAAGAAGAAGAAGAUCAACUUUUAAAGAAGGAAUGCAGAAAAAUGAGAGGGGAAAGGAUUUCAAACACGGGAUUUGGGCUUCUUAACUCCUACUUGCUUCUAAUAAAAAAUAAAGUGCAUAGAGAGCUGUGUG